rnacentral:rRNA from 1 species
CCUACGGGUGGCAGCAGUGGGGAAUAUUGGACAAUGGGCGAAAGCCUGAUCCAGCCAUGCCGCGUGUGUGAAGAAGGCCUUCGGGUUGUAAAGCACUUUCAGUGGGGAAGAAAGCCUUGGGGCUAAUACCCUCGAGGAAGGACAUCACCCACAGAAGAAGCACCGGCUAACUCCGUGCCAGCAGCCGCGGUGAAUACGGAGGGUGCGAGCGUUAAUCGGAAUUACUGGGCGUAAAGCGCGCGUAGGCGGUCUGAUAAGCCGGUUGUGAAAGCCCCGGGCUCAACCUGGGAACGGCAUCCGGAACUGUCAGGCUAGAGUGCAGGAGAGGAAGGUAGAAUUCCCGGUGUAGCGGUGAAAUGCGUAGAGAUCGGGAGGAAUACCAGUGGCGAAGGCGGCCUUCUGGACUGACACUGACGCUGAGGUGCGAAAGCGUGGGUAGCAAACAGGAUUAGAUACCCCAGUAGUC